rnacentral:tRNA from 1 species
ACCCAGCUGGCUCAGAGGGUAGAGCACGUGACUCUGGAUCUUGGGGUUGUGAGUUUGAGCCCCACACUGAGUG